rnacentral:rRNA from 1 species
UACGUAGGGUGCGAGCGUUGUCCGGAAUUAUUGGGCGUAAAGGGCUCGUAGGCGGUUUGUCGCGUCGGGAGUGAAAACACCGGGCUUAACUCGGUGCUUGCUUUCGAUACGGGCAGACUAGAGGCAUGCAGGGGAGAACGGAAUUCCUGGUGUAGCGGUGAAAUGCGCAGAUAUCAGGAGGAACACCGGUGGCGAAGGCGGCUCUCUGGGCAUGUCCUGACGCUGAGGAGCGAAAGUGUGGGGAGCGAACAGG